UAAAGUUGACCCCGUAGCGGCAAAAUCCGCUACCGGGCGUGGAAACCCGGAUU
rnacentral:ncRNA from 1 species